rnacentral:pre_miRNA from 1 species
AGAGGGAUAGCUAGGUCAAAUGUUGGUUCCACUCCCAAUUUUUAAAGAAAUCUUCAUACUGCUUUCCAUAUUGGCUGCAGCAAUUUACAGUCCCACCAGCAAU